rnacentral:rRNA from 1 species
AUUGAACGCUGGCGGCAUGCCUUACACAUGCAAGUCGAACGGCAGCACGGGAGCAAUCCUGGUGGCGAGUGGCGAACGGGUGAGUAAUAUAUCGGAACGUGCCCAGUAGUGGGGGAUAGCCCGGCGAAAGCCGGAUUAAUACCGCAUGAGACCUGAGGGUGAAAGCGGGGGAUCGCAAGACCUCGCGCUAUUGGAGCGGCCGAUAUCAGAGUAGCUAGUUGGUGGGGUAAAGGCCUACCAAGGCAACGAUCUGUAGUUGGUCUGAGAGGACGACCAGCCUCACUGGGACUGAGACACGGCCCAGACUCCUACGGGAGGCAGCAGUGGGGAAUUUUGGACAAUGGGCGCAAGCCUGAUCCAGCAAUGCCGCGUGCAGGAAGAAGGCCUUCGGGUUGUAAACUGCUCUUGUCAGGGAAGAAAUCCCUUGGGGUAAUACCUCGGGGGGAUGACGGUACCUGAAGAAUAAGCACCGGCUAACUACGUGCCAGCAGCCGCGGUAAAAC